rnacentral:misc_RNA from 1 species
UGCCCUCGCACAGCUCUCUGUCUCGGCUUCAUUCGCGAACGACCGAGUUUUUGCAAACACGCGUUGCGUUGAGACGGCGCAUUCCGGGGACGGGCCGAACCGGUAUUGCGCCUCUCAAAGAUUUGGGCACUCGGGCUUUGCGUCUUUCUUUUCAUGGCCUCCUUUUCUCUACACGGGUGAAACACUACCACAACGACUGCCUCGCUGUCAAAGCGCGAUCACCACCACCACCACCACCACCACCACCACCACCACCACCACCACCACCACCACCACCACCAUCUGCACACCGCCGACACGAUCGGCACAGCUCGGUUCUCUUCUCUCUCCACACACUCUUGCUCGCGCUACUGCACUCUGCUGCUGCUCCUUCCUUUCCCAUAACUUCUCAACACGAGCAGCUACUGCUACGGCAGCGUGCACGUACGCAAAAGCUCGUCCUUCUCCGCAAACUGUGUUGCUUCACCGCGCAGACACAGCCACAAGUGUGCAGACAGGCAUUGUCCACCUGUCUCUGUUGUUCCCUUCCUCACAGCACACGUGAACCACCGGGGAUAUCAUAUACGCUCAAGCGCAUUGAAAUGCGCGUCCGAUUUGUGGACUCAUCUGACGACGGGGCCUCACAUGAGGCGGCGAUGGAUGUCGGGUCCACACACGGCGAUGGCGCAGACUCCACUGAGAGCUCCACGCGCGGCGUGGUGUCAGCCGGCGCCUCUCGCCAGCCGUACGCCGGUGGCGAAGAGGCUGACAACAAGGACACGAAUCGUCAUCAGGGUAGUAGACGUGGCGCUGGGUGGCUAUCUUCAAUGUUAUACAAGGGUGUCAACGCUGCGUCUGGUCUGUUUUUAGAGCCCAGAAAUGGCUCGCCGCACGAGCCUGGCGGCGACGCGUCCUUCAACGCUCAGCUGACACUCACCGGCCCUAAUCGCAGCAGCGGCGUAGCUGCUGGUAGUAACAUCCCAGAUAGGAUCAGCAGCAGCAGCAGCAGCGGUGGCUGGGAGUUUGACAGGUCUGAGCACCGCAGCCCCAUUGAGGUGGCCCCGUCCACUGAAUCGGCAAGCUCCGUGGAAGGCAAUGAUGUGCAAGAGGAUAGCGAUCCCGAUCAGGUGAACCUAAACCUGAAAGACACGUUGCUGCUGUUUAUGCAGACCGGCUCUGACGUGUUCAUGAACAUUAUCCUCGCAACCCUGAAGGCCAGCAACGAGCUCGUAGACGGCGAGAUCUUCGAAUUAGUGAGUGGGAGCCCGGCACUGCUGAAAGUUUUCCUUGACUCUGGCCGCGUCGACAUUGACGAUCCUCGUGUGCAGUCUGUGGUGCAGGCAAAGCUUGACGAGGUGCUUGCCGGCGAUCCCUACGACGGCGACGUCGUGUCUGGCGAUCUGCUCAACUACGUCCGGUCUCUGUGCAGCAUCCGCACAAGCCGCAUCACCUUUCAGCAGAUGGUGCUCCUGCGCUACUCCGGUUUCGACUACGUGGAGCUGCUCAUCGACUACCCGUAUCUGCUCGAAAAUUUGGAGAAACCCAGCUUCUGCAUAUUCUUUGUCUUCGACGUGCUGCACUACAUCAGCAUCGCGAUUAGCUGGAUUGGCGUGCUGGUGACGUUGACGUUCACCGCCAUGGUACUGUGGUCGGUGGUGUUUUGGUUCCAGCAGCCCGAGCACCGCAACAACGGCUACUGGAUCAUCAUCACAUACGUUGGCGGCUACGUGGUGAGUCUUGUCGCCACCAUGCGGGCGGAGGAAGGCAAGAUCAAGCGCUAUGAGAAUCAAGUGUGGCGCUACCCGGACAACCUCUUUCGGAUUGUACCCAUCAUCCCUGUGUACGAGAUCAUGCUUAGCUACGUGUUGCUGCGGUACGAGAUUUCGGCCAACGCGAAGAGUUUUUUCAUUAUCCGGUACGAUCUGCGCAACGGCACUCUUGUCCAGCACAUUACCAACGGCUGCUUUUACGCCCUGCCGCAAAUGAUUCUGCAGACAUUCCUCUUCAUCAGCGAUAUUCGCCGAAACCAUCGCUACCUUCAUGGCGCGUGUUACUGGCUACUCUUGGGCUGCUCGCUGACGUUGAUAACCAUGUCAAUCUUCGCCUACCACCGCAUUGCCUUCUUCACGCACUCGUGCAACGGCUGCGGGUUUGCGGUUCUAUCGAGCCAAAGCAUCAGCGCCAAAGACCACACGCGCGUGCUUGCCCGCCGCGUCCAUCCAUCUGACAUCGUCACGAAGGUGUUUGUCUUCUUCACCAUAUACUUUUUCGUUGCCCAGACGGUGACCCUUGUCGUGCUUAUACUCAACCUGCACUCCUGCGCGGGAACCGCGAUUAUCUUCCCCGCCAUCUACAUGUCCGUCCUCGGCCUCUCUAUCAUUGUAAUCGUGGUUGUGUGCGUCAACUUGCCCUUCUCGCGAGGCAUGGGUGCCAUCGGUAUCCCCGUGAUGCUCAUGCAAAUCGCCUUUCUCGUGUACGUUAACGUGGGUGCGGCAAGCCGAGAGUGCGUCAUCUUCAAACCCUCCUUCAGCAAGUGGAUGAUACCAAGCAUCGCAAUCUUCGGGUUGAUGUGCCUAUCCAUCGUAGCCUGGUUAACGAUGUUGUUGGUCGAGUUCUUUCGCGGAGUGCGCAUUACGCAGCGGGCUGUCGAUCACUACGUCCUGGCAUAGCACUGCAUCACCAGCUCCCCCUCCUACCCACACCGGAUCAUCGCCUCUUAGCUUUCUUGCACAGAAGCGGACGGCGCUGUUGUCGCUUCGUCAAUGACCGCUUUUUCUCUUGGUGCUUCUUUCUUCAGUGUCGUUGUUGCUAUCUUUUCACGUUGGUCGGUGCACACCGUACACAUCUGCACGUGAAACCACGCAGAUUCACGUGAAUCACCACUGCCCAGCCCAACUGCCGCUUGCGUGUACUUUGGCAUGCGUCCCUUUCGUUUUCGUGUUUCUCUCUCUCGCACUGCAAACCAAGUCGACGCGGCACAGCAGGAGGUGGGGUGGGGAGAGGCAAGUGAAUGCUUUUUCUUCGAUGAUGUUCAACGUGCCCACUUUGCUGUACCACAUGAGUCACUCUCCAGUCUACCCCUGGCCCGUCACAAGCACCGCAUCGCCUGGUGCGAAGCAGCGUGAGACACACGUGCUACAGCAAUGCGCCGACUCAGCCAUCUGAGCAUGGCCUCUGCCUCAAACUCUACCCACCACGGCCGCCUCGCAGGCCGACUCGCAGGCCGCUCCCCCAUCAUGCCGGUCGCCGCACGGUGUGUGUCCACCA